rnacentral:rRNA from 1 species
UACGAAGGGUGCAAGCGUUAAUCGGAAUUACUGGGCGUAAAGCGUGCGCAGUCGGUCUUGCAAGACAGGUGGGAAAUCCCCGGGCUUAACCUGGGAACUGCACUUGUGACUGCAAGGCUGGAGUACGGCAGAGGGGGAUGGAAUUCCGCGUGUAGCAGUGAAAUGCGUAGAUAUGCGGAGGAACACCGAUGGUGAAGGCAAUCCCCUGGGCCUGUACUGACGCUCAUGCACGAAAGCGUGGGGAGCAAACAGG